rnacentral:misc_RNA from 1 species
GGACAAAGGGAUUCUCCUUUCAUUAUUAUUUUCAACUCCUAGUGCAAUUAGAUACCAGAUACCACAGAAAAAUACCACAGACAUCAGAUACCAAAGAUAUCAAAGUAGAGGGAGGAAAAGCGUAUGGCCUGAAAAUAGAAGACGAAAACAAAAAAAGAGAAAGAAAUGAAUACCAAGAACUGAAGAAGAGCCGGAAAAGGAAUGGCUCAUUUUUCGGCAGUAAAUGUCGGACUGACGCGUCGACCGCGACGCAGAAGGGCAGAAGGUGCAAGCACUUCGGUAUGCGCGAAAAAGUGAUAUACACUGACGUCUCCGAGGAAGAGUUGGAUAUUAAGAGGGAGAGAGAAAAAAAGAGAAAAUUCAUUUCUCUUGUGGGUUUACAAACCAGAAAUCGGGAUAACGUAAUGCAAAUAGUUCCUCGAGAAAUUUACGAAUACGGAUUAAGCGAAAAAUUAAAUAAUCAAAAUAAAGAAAAGAAUAGCCAAUUACUUUAAUAUCGGGGAACUAUUCAGCAGAUACUAUUCUCGUAUUACAACAUCUGAUACUAUUUGAUACUGUCAAACUAAAGAAGAAAUAUCCAAGAAGUUCAAUGUAGGAAAUCUAUGAGCAUAAACAACAUAUAGGAGUUGCUACAAAAGGUUAACGAAAUAACAUAAAAAUAUUCUACAUCGGACGAUUGCGCAUGUUAAGGUCGAUUGAACAAUUCCAUUAGCGGCGAGUUUUACAUUGGCAAGAUAAUACCUAAUUUGUUCAUUACGAAUGGCGCAUUAAAAUUUAAAUUUUAAUCGUCUCCAAUGAGUCCAGUAUUAAAAAUGUAACGCGUAAUGCGUUCGUUACGAAUUACAUAUUUAAAUUUUCAUGGACAAUUGGUCAGUCAGUAGCCAUUAAAAAUGUAAUCUUUGAUUCCCGGGAACUGUAUAAAAAUUUCAUCAACCUAUAUACAU